CUCAUAUAUAGCAGCAGUGGUUUUGCGGGGUCUGGUUAUUAAGCCUGGCAGUGGCUUACAGGGAAGAAAGGAAUUGUGUUCAGAGGGACACCGUUGUCUUGGUGCAAGAAAUGUGCCCUCAGGCUGGGAGCAGCAGCAUUCCAUUAAAACCACCAGGAGCUCUCCUCUGAACUGUUUUCUUUCCAGUUUCCCACAAUUGCCCCAAGUGGCAGGACUCUGGCUGGCAUUUUAGAGAUAGUGGAUCCAGCUUUGUGGUAUGAACUUAAAAAGUCACAGGUAGAUCUAUUUAUAGCCAAGAUUUGGGUUAAAGAGGAUAUAUGAUGCAAAGUCUUUUAGCUGAGAAUCUCUGUUGCCACUCUCCCUUUUGGCAGGGAUUUGAAGCUUGUCAGAUGAAUCACCCUGAGGCCAGUUGCUGACUUUCUCCAUAUUAUAGCCCCUAAAUGAGUGUCCUGUUCCAGCAGAGACUGGUUUGUCUUUAGCCACGGCGUUUUCUGCCCCUUCCCUGGCUGCAGAGCUGCCAUGAGGCCACAGAGGUUCCUUCUGCCUGAGGUGUCCACCAGCGUCUCCCCAAGGUGUGCCCACACACCUGGUCAGCUGCACGAGCCCACAAACAUCCUGCUCAGAUCAGUACCUGGAUCAGUACCUGGAUCAGUACCUGGAUCAGUGCCUCAGAUCACAUCUGCAGGCUUUCAGCAGCUUCUGGGUCCAUGCUGAGGCAUUUUUGGUUACCUGCCUCUCCAAUAUGUGCUUUUCUCCUUCUCACGAAAGAAGGCCAGAGCUGCAGAGUGUGGCCAGCCCACCAAAAGGGCAAGAUAUGCAGGUGAUGUAUACUACAGCCAAGAAUGACAGAGGAAUUUCCCAUUGCAAUGGUAAGUGGCAGCAUUUGGAUACUUGGAUUGACACAGAAUUUUUGAAAUAUCAAAGGACAAUUAAUAACAGACUUGUGACUGAGGCAUUCAGAUUUCCUUCUUAAAAAAAGUGACUUUUCUUUUUCUGUUAAAAGGUACUUAGAACUAGCUUAAAAAUUCAUAACAUAAAUACACACAUUCAUGGACUGUUUUUUUAUUAUGACAUUAAUAUACCUUGGUUUUGCUAUUAAAAAAGAAAAACAUUUUAAAAGAGAGGCUAGCAAUUGAAUUUGAAUUUAUGGAGGGACUAUGCACAGCAAGGAUUGUGAAGUUCAUCUGGAUAUUCAUUGCUUUUGUAGAGAAAUUAGAUGCCUCUCUAAAUAAAUACCAACAGCACAGACA
rnacentral:lncRNA from 1 species